rnacentral:tRNA from 1 species
GGGGUGAUGAUGGAAUUGGUAGUCAUGUCGCACUCAAAAUGCGAUGAGAGAAAUCUCGUGUGGGUUCGAGUCCCACUUGCCCUA